UGUUGGACCGUAGUCAUCUUCUAAGCUUCCCCCCAUUCGGCUGCUCCAAGCCUCCCACCCAAUUGAGAGUCCUGAGGAUAGAAAAAUCAAAGGAAAUAUGAGAGAACAUAGGAAAAAUCAAUGAAUGGGAAAAAUUAAUAGGUAAGACCUUUUCCCACAUAGAUUGAUCAUUUUUUUUUCUUUUUAUUUUUUUUAUUUUAUUUUUUUUUAGAUCUAUAG
rnacentral:lncRNA from 1 species